UACGUAGGUGACAAGCGUUGUCCGGAUUUACUGGGCGUAAAGAGCGCGCAGGCGGUCGUUCAAGUCGAGUGUGAAAGCCCCCGGCUCAACUGGGGAGGGUCAUUCGAUACUGAUCGACUCGAAGGCAGGAGAGGGAAGUGGAAUUCCCGGUGUAGUGGUGAAAUGCGUAGAUAUCGGGAGGAACACCAGUGGCGAAGGCGACUUCCUGGCCUGUUCUUGACGCUGAGGCGCGAAAAGCUAGGGGAGCAAACGGG
rnacentral:rRNA from 1 species